rnacentral:rRNA from 1 species
CCUACGGGGUGCAGCAGUGAGGAAUAUUGGUCAAUGGGAGAGAUCCUGAACCAGCCAAGCCGCGUGAGGGAAGACGGCCCUAUGGGUUGUAAACCUCUUUUGUCGGAGAACAAAACCCGGGACGUGUCCCGGACUGCGUGUAUCCGACGAAAAAGCAUCGGCUAACUCCGUGCCAGCAGCCGCGGUAAGCCGGAGGAGUCGAGCGUUAUCCGGAUUUAUUGGGGUUAAAGGGUGCGUAGGCGGUCCGUUAAGUCAGCGGUAAAAUUGCGGGGCUCAACCCCGUCGAGCCGUUGAAACUGGCAGACGUGAGUUGGCGAGAAGUAGGCGGAAGGCGCGGUGUAGCGGUGAAAUGCAUAGAUAUCGCGAAGAACUGCGAUUGCGAAGGCAGCGUACCGGCGCCAGACUGACGCGGAGGCACGAAAGCGUGGGGAUCGAACAGGAUUAGAUACCCGUGUAGUC